UGUGUUUGAAUUAGGUUAAGAUGAAGACUUAUUGCCUUACGUUAAAGACCUUUUCUUGUUAUCUUAUUCUAAAGAGAAAAAAAUACUUUGCUUUACAUUAUGUUCGAUUUUGUUAGGUGGUUGUAUAGAUUGAGAGGCCUUGUAUAUUUUAUAAGGCCAUGGCAUGUGGGACACCGGACAUGCAACCUUGCCCAGUUUUUCAAUACAGGCACUUACGGUCUCCGAUUUUGCAUCUCUAUCUCUAUAAAUUUAUAUUUUGCAUCAAUACCAUUUCAAAUACAAAAUAACAAAUAAUGCAGAAACUUCUUCAGAUAUUUUUUUUUAUUUGGUUAUCUUUUCGUAUUACAGUAAAACUUAUGAAUUGAUUUGGUUUGAACUAAUUUACAAUUUGCAUAUGUUGUUGGCAAAUUAGAUUAUUAUAUCUUUUCAUUUGGCUGAUUAAAGGCUCCAAUCCAAAAUUAAGGCCUGAAAUUUGGGCAGAAUCUGUCUUUGCAAGCUUAUCCAUCAGUGUGCCAUACCACUACAAGGGGCGGUUUCACUUCGUUAGCCACCACGGAGAGCUCGUAUGGCUCAACAGUCCCCCUGCCGGCAACAAAUCUAAUCCAAUGCUGAGAUGGACAUUGAAGGGCCUUCUAUCUAUCAGUAUAUACGGGGAGACGGCAUAUUUAUCACACAGUAGAUAUCAUUGAUAUUCGCAUGUAUAACGUACCUGUAAGAGCCAUUUGAAAUCUGUAAAUUCUUAAAUUUCAGCAGAAUGAUGUGAAGAAUUGGAUGAUUAACUUUUCAUAUCAUUGUUACCUUGAAAAGAUUUAGGAUCAGCAAUGUUGGAUCUAUGACAGGCAGAGGUAUGAAUGACAUGAGAAGCUCCACAUGCAUGAUUUCCAUAUUUCUAAAGAGCCAAUUUUCCUAGCAACUCCUGUGAGUCUGCAAAUUGCUUUGGUGUACAGGAAUUUUCUGAAAGUCACAUAUGCGAGGGUGUUACAAUAAUUUGAAGAGAGAAGCUCAUCUUUUAACCAAAAAGAAGUAGAAGUCAUAGCUCAACUAUCAUUACAGCAAUGCUCUUCUUGCUGCUACCUGCUGAUAUUACUUAUCGAUUUCCUUUUUAAAAAAUAAUUAUUGCCAGUUAAUAAAACAAAGCUCCAGGACGGUGUUCUUGAACCGUCCUACUUCCAUCUUCCAUUCCAUUGUGAACUACUCAAUUGGUCAAACAUCAUUGUACUCAUAACAUUACCUUAUCCAAAAGUGAACUUAUAGCUUACAAUAAGAGAAGAAAGUUGGUUGCAACCAUAUGCCAACUAGUGGCAUCUAAAGAUAUUACAUAACAAACAUGGGUAGUACAGGAAGUGGCUUGAAUGUGUGCGUGCAUGUUACUUCUCAACAUGACGAAAUGCACAAUUCAGGAAUUUCUCUGAACACAUGAUUAGUGGUGAUCAUGAUUAGAAGAUUGUACAAGGUUGCAAACAACAUAGUCAACCAAGUAAUGACUCCACCUCUAAUCAAAAAAAUAAAAGUAAUGGAUCCAUCCACAAUCCAAAUAAUUGACAGAUUAAAAAAUUAUAAAUUAUCUUAUCUUUCGUUAGUCAAACCAAAUAAAAAAUAAUUGACCUAAUUAAUCACCAAUAUCCAAAAACUUACAUAUUUUGUGAAUUAUCCAUCAGCUAAAUGUGGCUCAGGUAUCAUGGGUUAUUGGUUAAUGAUGUUCUGAUGUCGGUUAGUUCAGAUGAGCAAGUUGGUUUCGCAGCCUGACAUCAAAGUUUUGCAUCCUAAUUAAACUUGGAGCUACUUGCAUAGGUAUCUUAAAAGAUUCCUAUCACAAGCCCCUGGCAAAUUCAACGGACUUGUAACUAUUAUAGCAAAAGACCAAAUAUGGAAAUGUCCUCUACUUCUAUAAGAUGGAUAAGAAAAUGACAACCUCCAAGCCUGAUUCUGCUGUAUAUUCAUAGUCCCUUUUAUGUCCAGUUAUUUGGCCCUCAUCAAUGCUUCCCAGAUGAUCACAAAUCCCUGUACCAGUAGUUCACACUUUUGCUGGUAGGCCAUUCAUUCUCCAACUGAGACUAUUUAAUGAUGCAUCAGUAUUGGACUUGAGUUAGCCUUGAUGGCGGGAAUACCAAUUAAAUUGUAAGCAUAGUCUCCCUAUCUUGACAUUACUCCUACGCUCUUCCCAAUAAACUCUUCCUGUGUUUUAUUAUCAUCCCAAAUCUUCCUGCUGGAAAAACCUUCCUAUCCUUGGCCAGUCACACCCUACAUAAGCAACAACCAAAAAUUGGAGCUCGAACCAUUUAAGUAAGAUUGAUAUGUUUUAUGAAGACGUUGAUGAAGAAUAGAUGUGAAUCUUUGAGUAAGUUCUUGUGACACUUUUUCUAUUUUUUUAGCAAUUGUGUUAGUUACAACUUAAAUUGACUGUUCAACUCUGCAAAACUCAAUGAAAAUCUUUGAAGUUUUCUAUAUUCCAUGUACACAAUGGCAAAUAUCAUUGUUAUGUCUUCUUUUACUGUGUUUUGUGCACUCCUUCCACAGUGCCACCAUCAUGCUCAUAUAUGCAGAACCAUAAUUAAGAAAGGUGGAUUAAUAAAUAUAAAAAGAAAAGCUAUCAAUAUACUCAAUCAAGCGUAUCAAAAUAAAGAUGUGAGCACUAUUAAUGAGAUUGAAAGAGAAGUUGGAUGAAGUCUUCCCAUGCAAGCGGAGCCAUUUUAUAAAUAUUAGUUGCUUAACAUGCAUAUUGCUGACUGUGAGAAAGUAUACUGUUGCUUCCCACAAACAGUAGCAGGUUGAUUUUUCUCAUAAAAAUGACCUUGAGAAAAUCCUUCCUGAUGAGGACAGAAGUUCCCAUUUCCAAUGCUCUAGAAAUGAUUUUGACAGAAAGAGUUGGUGGAAGGAAAAUUGAAUGGUAACUACACAAAUUGUUAUUACUUUUGAUCAUUUGCAAAUAUACCUCUUCAUGUGUAGGAAGUGUCUUGGUUGGAAGAAUUCGAGAGUAAAAACUGGCAUGGACCAAUGUUGAUCUACAUGAACCAGUACUGACCAACAUAUUAGACAUAUAAUAAUGGUCAGCUAAAUAAUAUUAAAAGUCAAAUUAUCAAUAAAUAGAUGGACCAACUUCAUUAGAAAAAGGGAUAGUAAGCUUAUUAGGCCUGAGCUUUCAUUAGCUUAGUUCUCAGAUCUUCUGCAUGAAUCAUGUUACAGAUUCAGUCUAGCUUCUAUUAAUAACUGCCUGAACAAAGUUUUUGAAAUCAGUUCUAGAUUUGUUCUUGGAGGAUGAUAAAAUUCAAUACGAAUAUACAGGUUAGUAGCUCAAUUUUCAUAAUGAUACUUAAGGAUACUCCAGUUAAUGCUUAACAUUUAUCUUCCCUCCCUGUUUGCAUGUUUUUUGACCAUAUAAAAAGAAUAUGGAGAGUCAAUGAAAGUUUUAGUUCUGAUCUCACAUAACUCAAUCAUUAUCUUUAUGAAGAAAAUUCAGCAGCGCAUGCAUUCACAAUAGAAGCAUGAAAUGAGUCACAAAUUAUCAAAGUACAUUGUGCUUCAAAGAAAUUCAGUGCAUAAAAAGAAAGAAUGUCCAGAAUAUAGGACAGUAAGUGAGAAUGAUUAAAGUUAAGGAAGAAGAGUUAUUGAGAAGUUUAUAAACGAGUGAAACAGCAUGAGAAAUGCAAACCAUAAUGAAGUUCCUGGAAAUGAUGUACGAAAUCAGAAGGUGUUUGACAUAAUAACUUUUGACAUCUCGAACCUCAACAUACCAUAUGGCUCCGGCUAGAGGCUCGCAACCGAUGGCGAUUGUUCCCCUUCUCUUUCUGAAUUACAACUCACAUGUCCCCAUGAACUUCAUCCAUGAAUCGAGCAAAACAAAAACAACUUUUUUCCCCUUCGGAUAGAAUUUUUUCUUCAAUGCAUCCUUUUUAUCUUCUUAGAAUGAUCAUUUGGGAUUACUAAAGAAUCUUCAAAUAACCAAUCCAGAGACAAAAAAAAGAGGGACCCUCAUGAGCAAAAAAUUGCGCCAGCAGCUUGCUUCAGAACUUAUUUCCAAAGUCGCGUUAAUCAAUCCAAGAUGUUCGACAUUUUUUUUUAGAAGUUUUCAUCUACGAUUCCUCAACUCCGAUCUUGCUGCAGUAUACAUCCCUCACUUCCGGAGCCUCUCUGCUGUAUCUGAUCACAUACUUCUCCAAGAACUCGUUCUCGUUACAAGCAAACAACCAUGGCCCCAACUUAUUCCUCUUACUAUUCCCAUCUUUCUUAAGCAGUCCCUUGGAUUCCAGCAGACGAUAUACCCUGAACCUCGGCAAGAGCCUUUUCUCCAGCCCAUACAUCAGCAGCUUCGGUUGCCGGGCGAGAACCUUGGGCGUCAACCCGACCUCGUUCACAAAGAACCUCACCAUCUUUCUCAUCUUCUCCUGCGACACGAGCACGAACAGCGGGGCGCGGCGGAACGCGAUGGCGAUCUCCUUGUCGGACCAGGCGAGGGAGCGGCGGAGGAAGGCGAGCCGGGCGUCCCAGGUGGAAUGCCGCAUGGCAUUGAGCGCGCGGACGGCGUGGACGAACAUGGCGGUCUCGGGGCGGACGCCGAAGCGGGCAGCGGAGUCGACGGCGGCGGCGAAGCGGGCAGGGGGGAGGGUGAGGGCGCGGGGUUGGGCGGCGAGGAGGGCGGAGAUGUGGGGGGCGGGGACGCCGCGGGAGAGGAGGAGGUCGACGUUGGGGGCGACGGUGGAGGGGAAGUUGGAGGAGAGGAGGCGGGGGAAGCGGCGGACGGCGAGGAGGAGGGAGUCGGGGGAGGGGAGGAAGAGGCGGAGGAGGGAGAAGGCGGGGAUGAUGUGGGAUUGGAGGCUGCAGGAGAGGAGGGAGGGAGAGGAGGAGAGGAGGAGGGGUAGAUGGGGAGGGGGGGAGGGAGGAGGAGAGGAAGGAGANNNNNNNNNNNNNNNNNNNNGGGAGGGGGGGAGGGAGGAGGAGAGGAAGGAGAGCUUGGGGGAGAGGGUGAGGUCGGGACGGGAUCGGAGGAGGGAGGGGCGGACGGAGACGAUGCGGGCGAUGUGGGAGGGGGAGAGGCCGUGGGAGCGGAGGAGGGAGAGGACUGCGAGGGAGUUGGCGGCGGAGGAAGGAUCGAGGUGGAGGCGGCGGGCGGCGGAGAGGGCGGAGGUUAAGGAGAGGCCGCAGGAGGAGACCAGGAAUUGGACGGUGAAGGAGGAGGGGGAAGGGGGAGGGUCGGUGGAGAGAGAUUUGCUGAAGAAUCUGGAGAAUAUGGUUGGAGCGGAGUAAUGGAAGGAGAGGAUUCGUUUGAAGAAGAGAGAAGACAUCUGAGAAAUGGGAGAUAUAGAAAAGGAGGAGGAGAAGAAGGGUGUUUUGAGGAUUCUCAGUGCGAAGUGGGAGGCUCAGGGAAGAAUUUAAGUAUCCAAAUGGGUCUGUUUUUAAUUUGGAUAUGAGGAUUGGGUUGGGUUGGGUCUGAAAUGGAGCUAUUUGAACCCAAUCCGUAGACUAACAAGGUCAAAAAUUAGUCAAAAUAUUAAGAUGAUUCCAUAAUCUAGUCCAGCCCAACUCAACCCAAAUGUCAUGAUUUACAAAUCAUGACCCAUGAAAGUCAUCAUUAUUUAGAUCAUAUCAUAAGUAAAUUUAGAAACGACAUAAUUUGUUGGGUGGAAAUUUUAUUUUAUCUCUUAUUUAUUUUAUCAGUACAACUUCAAUGCCGAACGAUAUAUGAAAAUAAAUUGUGUCCUCCACCCACUUUAUUUGAUAAGAUCUUCUCUCAAGCCUUGCUCACCCCUUCAAUUAGGAGAAUUUGGAGUGUGGCAUGCGUGACACACUUGUAUUUUUAUUUAAAAAAAGAGACCCCCAUCCAUAUAAAUUAUAGAUGCUAAAGACAUGCAGCACCUUUUGUUUUCAAUUUUUCUAAAUUCUUUAUGAUGUGCUGCACCAAGGAUGUAUAUUAAUCUACUAAUAUUACUUAUAACAAAAAUAGCCAUGGUAGAAUACAAUUCACCAUUAAAUAUGAUUUUAUAAUUCCUUAUGAACAUUGUUUGCUUUAUGUUAUUGUGGACCCAAAACCUGGUAGCUGGGUUUCAAGGUUAGAUAUCUCACUAACAUAAAACUUGGAAACCUUUAAGAUCUUCAAACGGUCGGUAGGGCGACAUAGUUCUACAUGCAAUUUGGAAGUAUCAUGAUCUAAAUAUCUGCUUUACAAGAUGAUGGUUUCACAAUUACUGUUUUCUGAAUGCUCCUUUCAGUGAUUGCAUUGGUUUAUCAAGUAAAUCAAGGAUUAUUCAAGAUUAAUAAUAGUACGUUGCUAAACAAAUAUUCCAUUUUCACAGCAGAAACUUUUUCUCAGCAACUCUUAGAAUAUGGAAGAGCUGAUAAAACAUGCAUUGCAAGCAGAAUGUGUUCUUGGUGAUGUGCAUCUCUAUCCAUACAGCAGUUGAGGACUGCAGUGAGACAACAAGGUAUUGAUGUCAUGCCCGUAAUUUUAGGCAUGUAACGCACCUACUAAUUUUGCUUCAUCAAGAAUAAACAAUACACAAUCAGGAAGAAAAUUUUCAGUGGCUUAAAGAGCAUGAUGAGAUGUUCUAUCUGGGAUUGAUUUGAAAAUUUGCAACACUGGACUUCAGAAAAGAGCCUAUCAGGUUCCAAACAGAAAUUUUUGAUCCAAAAAACCGUACUUGAACUGAUCGUCGUGAUCCUUCUCUGACAUACUCCAGUUCUCCAGAGAUACCAUCUUGAACAUAAUCAGGUUCUUCAAGAAGAGGCAAUGCAAUAGAGCCUUGGGACUCGAGGUUCUUAAUCCACCCACGCAACAAAAAGUUUACAACCUGUUGGCCACAAAAGAAUCAUCCUCCUCAUACCAUCUUCUUUCCCAUGAAUUAGAUACUCAAGUUUAUAAAGUAUCGAAUAAACACUUGAGUACACUGAAACUACGUUAUUGCACAAAUGCAAAAAUACCAAAGUAGAUGAGCACUUUCAGCUCAUUUGGCAGAACCAGGCAUAAAGAAAGAGCAGAUAUUCUAGCAUUUAUUGGAUGUGAACAAAUAGAAGUAAUUUCAAUUUAGAGAGAGUGGUGCUCAAAGUAAAGUUUAUGUAGUGACGUCAAGGACUAAAAAUCAAAUUAUGGACACAAGUCAUCAGAUUGUACAACACACACAAUAUGGAGAUGGUAAGGAUUGGCACAGGUCAGCACCUGCCAGUUCAAAUAAGUCAAAAAAAAAAAAGAAAAAGUUUACCAAGUAAUACUGGGCAGUACAAGGUUGGUACAAGGUGAUACAGGUCGGUUAGGGUAGUAUAGGUCGGACAACCUAAAAAUGUCAUAGAAGUCUAAUGUCCUAGAUAGUAGAACUUACAUCUGUUGAUACAGGUCGGUUAGUGUAAUACAGGUCGGACAACCUAAAAAUGUCAUGGAAGUCUAAUGUCCUAGAUAGUAGAACUUACGUCUUCGUAGUGAGCGCCUUCAUAUGCUAAUUUAUUAGAAAUUAGCUUUGUGCAAGUGAACUUUUAGUGCUCCAGCUGUUACUUACUACAAAUCAUGUUCCUGCAAUAUGUAUUAUGAAUCUUCAACAACUAUAUUUUUUGUUAAAUGAGAGCAUUACAAUGCGAAGGUAAGAACAGGUUUGCUUACCAAUCUUUAAACAAAAUAUGCAAUAUCUUUUCCAAUCCACAUAACAAUGACUUCAUCAUGAGAACUCCAAUGCUGUGAUCAUUCAAUCUACUGAGUACGCAUAUGUGCAGCAUAAGAGUCUCUUGCGGUAAAUAAUACCCUACUACCUAGCAGCUACGGUCAAUAUCCAUUUUCAAGGCCCUAUCUGAUGGCAGAGCAAGAGUACACUAGUAAGUUAAUCGGUAGGCCAUAACUGUGAAUGUUUUUCGAUAAGAACUCUCAUGUAACUGUUAGAUAUGCCCAGAAAUGCAGCUUGAAUGUGCUUGUCGGGUUUAUCCGAUGAUUUCAUUAGCAAUACCAAAAAAAUUUCAAGAAUAAAGCCCAACUGUACUGCAGUUAUGAGAGUUGGUGAUUGUUUUAUUUCUUUGCUUCUCAUGAACAAGAUGACAGCCUGUCUAUAACCGGCUCCCAGUAGUUAUCAUGGACCAGUCUGAUAUAGCAUGCACACAGUGCAACAAACAGCUUCACCAAGCCUAGAUAAACCCUCUCUCUCUCUCUCUCACACACACACAACAAAAAAAGAAAAGGUCCUACAAUGGAUUCCAACUGUUUUUUAUCUAACCUUCAAAUUGAAGUUCACUAAAUUUUGGAAACAUUGAUCAAAGCUUCUGAUUUAAAUUGGCAGCAGCAUAUAGGAGAAGAUUGUCAACCUUUGUGACACAUGAGUUUGCAUAACAAACAUCUUCCAGCAUUUUCACCAAAUUCUCCUUCUCAUCAUGUUCUUUUAUGAUUGCUACCAAAAAACAUGUUGCAUAAGAAAGGGGGACAUUAGGAGCACAUGUGGUGAUAUGCAAAGCAUUUUCAUCUUUCAUUACCCAUCAAAAAAAAACUGCAAACCCCCCAAGAUGAAGAAGAGCUUAAGUUACCGUUAAGAUGGAAUCAUGGAAGACAAGUUAUUUUCCUGACAAGGAGCUCAGCGUAGAACAUUCCUGGUGCCUAUCAGAUUGUAGGUCUAUUGGACAUGUUUUGGCUACAUACUACAGACAAGAGCAUAGAAAAUUUAGCUUGUCAUUCUAAUCUUGAUGAAUGUUAUCUUGUACACUCAGAGGAUUUGUUUCAGAUCACUGGAGUGCCAGAUGCAUGUAUUUAUGAGUCUAAAAAGAUUGCUACUUAUAAGAUAUUAUUGAAAAUGAAAACUUAUGAUUUCUAAGUACACGAAUGGAAAUGUGAUGUAGGCUUUCAUCUAUAACAGUAGUCCUAAGUAGAUUUCCAGUCUGAAUCAACAACUUCUGUAUUUGAAUUGUUGACAAUCUGCUAUCCAGAUGAACUUUCAAUAACAUAUAGAAUCUAUCUAAUUUGUUGUAAAUGUAAUCCCUUGUUUCUCAUUUCUUUUUUCUUUGAAAUUUCUCUAUUCUAUACUUCUUGCAUGCCCCUUAGUUUCCUACUGCUUCAGAAGAGUAAGAUGUUAUGGCAACAAAAAGAACACCAAGGAUGAAACUGGACUUUCACCAAAUGAGUAACAAUAGUUUUAACUGCGACCAAUAUUAUAUACUAACAUACUCUCCAACAUCAGUGAAUGUGUAACAACAUUGGAAACAAUAGAAAGAAAAAGACGGUUCAAAUCAUGUUGUCACCAAUGCCAACAAUAAAAUCACAUCGCAAAUCACAAAAAUAACAACCCCAAUCUAUUUGGAAAUCACUAGAAGAUUAGUGCAAGUUGUAAUAGUACUAAAAUAAUAAUAUCCUAGGACAUUCUUGCAGGACUUCAGUUCUUGUGCUCCGUUUGACUACUAGCUAAAGAAAAAUCUUCUUACAAGGCAUAGCAGAUCACUUUCUCAGUCAAAUAAAUUAUGGUUAGGUUACACCACAUAAAGUUUUUAUUCAUUAUCAAAAGUAUUUAAACCAGACAUCCAGAUAGAACAGUAGAAUUGGGGGCUGACUUGCUACUGCAAUGUUCCUAAACUUGUAAAAAGAUGAAUUAUGAAAUCUCUCUAAACAUCACGCUUCCUUCAGUUGAAUUUUGAUUUAGUGGGGUAUCCAAUAAUUCUAGCUAGAUUUAGUUGAUUUCAGGUGUUAAAUAGUGGCUAGCUAUGGGCUAUUACUGUAACACGUAUUCAGCAGGAUCCAGAAAAUGUUGCAGGUUUAGCAAUGUGACUUUGAAGGUAUAAGGUAGUUUUUUGGACUAACCUUUGCCAUUUGUCACUCAAGAAGCAUAUCAAAUUCGCAAGAUAAUCAAUCAAAUUACAAAUUUCUGUGCAGUCAACCCAAAUUAAAAAGUUCCAGAUCUAAAAUCAAAAAUGAUAAAUGGUACAUACCUCAGGAACCUCGUCAUGGGGGCAGUGACCUGCCGGGCUAAUCUCAUAAUAUGGUACUUCUGGCAAUUGUUUUUUCACUUUAAGGCCCCAAACAGGCCUAACCCAGGGGUCUUCUUUGCCAUACAUGAGACAGAUGGGAAUGUCUUGCAUUUGGCACCUACAUUCAGAAGAAAAAAUUAGAGACAAAACAGUAAGCAACUUGUGUAUGUUAAGGGCAUAAAGGUUACAAGCUUUGAACAAUUCUUCUGCAUGGAUAUGGAAGAUUUUGACUUGCAUCUAAUAGUUUGGUUCCACUGAUACCUCGACAAGGCCUCCUGGAAGGAUAGCUGUCCCUUGGGAGCAAACAUUAUUGAGGCAAAUGAUGCAGCUGCUGCAGGAUGUUGUGUUGUUUCAACUAUGCGAGAGAAGACUUUGUCGACCUUUGUAGAACGGUCAACGUAAACUUGCUUUAUUAGCUCCAGUAUGCUACUGGGUUCACUUAUCUUCUGCCAUCUAAAUCAUAGAAAAGACCAUCUCACCUCAUUCUUAUUUAAAUAUAAAAAGAAUGGAAAUAUUUAAGCUUAUAAGUUCUCCUAUGUAUAUGACUUGAUGAUUAGAAAACAUCAAAUAAAAGCAUAGAAAAUGAAUUUUGCUUUUACCCUAAACUGACAGUAAUCAUAUUUGUAAGAUUGCAAAAGUUGCAAAAUAUUUGGGUUUCCACCGGAGUCCAGAAAAAUAUAGACCCAAAAUGGUGUGCUGAUCCAAUGGUUGGAUAUGGAUCUAUUAUCAAACCAUCCAUGGAAUCAGGAACGAUGUCAAGAUGACCCACUUGGGGCCCAGAUAGCUGGAGUACACCAAAUGGUUCCUCUAAUUGACUUGACCAACUUAAUCCAUACUACAAAUGAUUGAGACCAUUUUCCAGAAUUGUUUCUUAAGCAAGUCAGGCAGGAAAAAAAAUCCCUGGUCAAACCUGAGUCAUUAGAGAACCCAGAGCAUAAUAAAUUGUUCAAAAAAUUUAUGUUAUAUACUUCAUUAGAAAAUUAUUCUAAUAUGGAACUGACCACAACCAUCUGUGGAGAAAUCAACUCAUGUUGAUACAUACAUAUGCAGAAAAAACAGAAACUUGCAAUGAUUUGCAGUCAUAAAAUGAUGAAAAGAUCAUAGUAAGUUACUAAUACCUACACGAACUCAGUGAGCUUUCUCACACUUGAAGGUAGAGGAAAUGUCCCAGCCCAUGGAAACAAUUUGGACAGCCUAGGUGAUCUAGUGGGGUUAGGGAGGAAUCCCCAAAAUGGUGUUGCAUUGAGCAAUGUAACUCCUCUUACUAGCUCUGGGUUGUUUGCUGCAAAGUACAUAGCAACAAAGCCUCCUAGAGAGUUCCCAACAACAUAAACUGGUUCACCAAUAACCUGUAAAAUGAUAUCAAAUAUAAAGCUUGAUUUCAACCAUGAAGUCGAUUAACUACAUAUAUGAGUGAUACAGAAUCAGUUAUAAGUGGCUUCAAGUCCGUGUUAUUGCACGUUUAAUAUCAGUAUGCAACUCCACUAACCAGACAUGUAAGGACCAAAGAUAAUGAGUUCAGUGGUACAGUAUAGAGCUUUCAUGAUGGCGAAAUUGGUUACUUUGCAAACUAGGUAUUUGCGGACGUGAAGAUAUAAAAGGUUAAAUAAAUAUUCUAAAAAAAAGUUCUUGAAUUUUCUAAUAUUAGCUCUUAAUUAAUGGAGGAAUGAGAGCUAGCAAGUUAAGUAACAAUUCCUUAUGCAUUUAUCGAGAAAAGUUAAAGAUCAUCUGGCACGAUCUAGCUAAGAGCUUUUUUAACUAAAGAAAAGACCCUCAAAAUAGUUUGUUCUAAGUAAGUUAAAUAAAAAAUUUAGAACCUGCAUAAAUAGAGAGUCUAGCAAGUAUACCUGUUCAAUGAAAUGCUUAACUUGGUCUUGCCAAAGAUCAACAGAGUAGACUAGGUUUUGCGCCCAAGGCUUGGAAGCCUCUCCAAAACCCCACACUGCAUUGCUCUCUUCAGAAUUCUCUCUUGGCUUGUCAGAAGGAGCUGGAUCUUCGGUCGGCAAUGACAGGCCUUGUCCUAGGAAAUCCAAUGCCCACACUCUAUAAUCACGGCCCAGAUCUCUCAACUGCUUCUCAUAGUGAAAAGACCCAACCCCAAAACCAGGAAGAAAGAGCACGUUUGGCGCAUUAACAUUCUCCAACCCAGAUUUCUCAUAAUGCACCGAUAAUUUUGGCUUCCAUUCCCAAAAACAACUACUGAUUGGAGAACCAGGAUUGCCCUCAGAUUCAUCAGGUAAACUUGGAAUUAAAACCUUCUUGACCUCGUCGACCUUCCUGGGAAUGUCCCUCAGACCAACUUUUCCAUCCGUCACAUAAUAAUUAUAAGUUUCAGUUGUAUUCUCAGCAACGGCACAAUUCCGGAGGCCUUCGAGCAGACUUAACAAUCUAGUCUCUUCUUUUUGAUAGAGAUUCUCAACCUUAUUACUGUCCUUGUGAGAACUCCCUAAACCCCAAGAGCGUUUGGUUGCAACACAGAAAAUUCCAGUUUUUCUAUGGGGAAAGAGCUUGGAAUUCUUCAAACUUCGGCUAUUAUCUACAACUUUCCAGUUCAGAGUAGCAGAGUGAUGGCACGGCACAGAGGUGCAGCUAAUAGAAAGCAAUUCCAUCUCUCGAAGGCUACUUGCCCUGCCAGAAUCAACUUACCCUUUCAACCAACAAGGACCCAAACUCAUAUUAAACUAAGAUGAUUAAACUGGCAAAUAGAAUCAAAGAACUAUGUGCCGCAAAUAGGAUCUUAAAAUUUACAGAAAAGGCAAGUUAGUCGUAUGAAUCCACUAAGCCCGAAACAAUACAAACAAAUCUAAAGCCUCAGAAGAAUAAAAUAUAUGCCCGAUUCUUGAGUAAUAGUAACACGGCUCCUUGGAAUUCUAAUUAGAACUUUAGAAUACAAGAAAAAGAUAAGAACUUGUUGGAAAAAAACGGAUUUUGAGCAUGUCGUCCAAAAAAAAAAGGAAAAAAAAGAAAAACACGAACUUUUUUUCCUUAAACAACCACUAGGUAGUAAGAAAUUAUUUUGGAACGAAUUUAAAAGAGGGUUUCAGUUAUACCUCUAGUUCUUAGGUCGACGGAUCGAUCAAACUCGAUUUAUUCGUUAAUCUUCUUCUCCUCCUUCUAAAGUUUCCACCUUCGCUUCCAAAGAAAGAGGGAAAAGCCACCCCCGAGGGGACAAGAGCAGCUCGGAGAAUUUAAAGAGAAUAAAAAAAAAGAAAAACAUAUACAAAACAUGAUGGAACGUUGUGGAGAGCGAGGAAGCGGCUAGAGAGAUAGAGAGAGGUGUAGUUUCAGUGGGACCCACAUGUCAGAGGCUUCUGAUUUGUCUGAUAGUAUGUUUGCUGUUUUAACCAUUACAUGCGGCUGAGAACAGGUGGGGCAGUUUUAAUCGUGCACGUUGCGUGCAGCCAAGACAACGGGAGGAGGGAGAUUUCUUUGCGUGCACCCGCGAGCGGUUGAUUUUUUCCCGCGCCCAUUUGUCUGUUUGCGAACAGGCUUUGGCGGAAUGGUCGGCCAGGGACUGGGCCCGGCUCUGUAAUAUUUAAAUUAAAUACUCAACCGAAUCUUAGCGUCCACAUUUCUCUAGCUAUUGGGUCGUAGGUUCCUAAAAAAAUUGGAUCUGGAUAAUUAGCAUCUGGAGUUAUUUUUUUGGAUUUUUUUUGCAUAAAUAUUUUUUUAAAAAAUUUAAAUUUAUGUGAAUACUCUCUUAAAAUUUAUAUUUAUUUUUGUAAUCUUAUAAAAUAUUGUUUUUUAUACAAAUAUCCCUAAUAUAACGAUUCUUCUAAUACCGUUAAUAAAAAAUAUUUAUUUUAUUAAAAAUAAAUAGAACUUUAAAAUUACUUUUGUUUUCCAUCAUGAUCGCCUUAUAAAUAUUUUUUUUUUUUGCAUAUCUACUCAUUAAAAAUAUUUUAAUCAUUUUAAUUUGAAAUCGUUAAUUUUUUAACGACGUUGGAUGGUGUGAAUACAUAUGCAAAAACAAGAAUAAAAAAAAUAGAAUAGUAAAACAAGUAUUUUAUAAGGGUAUAUAUGCAAAUAUCAAUUUCGGAAGGAUAUUCAUGCAAAAUUAGAGAUUAGGUGGGUAUUCAUGCCAAAAAAAAAAAUUCUUUACUAAAAAAAAUUUAUUUGAAUAAGAGCAAUGUAAACCAUACUGUUCAAAAUCUUAGUAUUUAUUUUUAUUUUCUAGAAAAAGUUAGACUUCACUGCUCCAUUUUAUGCAAAACAUUUAAUUAGUGUUUUCGGAGGUGAGUAGGCUUAUAUUAGGUGAGUUUAAUUAUUUGGAUAGUUAUUUGAAAGUAAUAUUAAUAUUUGGUAAAUUUAGUUUGAAUAGCAUCUUUUUUUUUCAAAUAAAUACAGUUAUCUCAAAUAAUAAUUGUGGUUUUGCUGUUAUGCUAUUUUGAUGCCAUCUAAGGAUAAAAAUGUUGUUAGAAUAUUGUAUGAGUAUAAUACAUAAAAAGAUGGUUUUUCUAGAAAUUGACAAGUUCGUUCAUCCAAUAUUAGUGUACAAUAAUAUAUUGAAAAUAAUGCUAACAUAUAAACAAGAAAAAAUGAAUAAUAUUGAUAUACUAAUAUUUAUAUAUAUUGAAGGAAGAAAAGAUCAAGCAUGAAAAAUGAUUACAUUAAUUAAUCUUUUAUUUAAGAAAAAAAGAGGAAAACCUGCAACUUUUGGUUGCUAACCAGGGCAGUAUGACAACUAGGGCACAGGGCCUGUUAUCAGAUUAGGUUUAAUCAAGAUUAUAAUAAACUUAUAUCUAGAUCUACUAACAUUUUGGGUCUAAAUUUUGUUUCAGACCAAACCAUUGAAGGAUCAAGUCAUGUCAGGAUUCAAGUAAUAAAAUAUCACAAGAUCAUUCAUGUCUUUGGCUUGGGUUUGAGUAUGUCAAGAUAAGUAGGAAUGCAAGCCAAGAACGCACUACCCUGUGGUAUCUUGAUAUUGAACCAUAUCAUACCAAAUUCAGUGACGAUUGGCUUUAUUAGAGAUAGGUCAGCUAUCAUCAAGAAGGAGAGAGAUACUAUGGAGGCAUCGAGAAUUAUGUUGGAGCAAGACCGACAAGAAUCCUUGGAUGACCUCCGAACCUAUCCAAUUCUUGAAAGAGGAAGUACACUAGGUGAAACUUGACUCAGAAGUGUCUGAUAUGGAUAACUUUUAUAAAAAUUGGGCAAUACUAAGUUAAGUCGUAGUACUAGAUAUAGAUAUAUACACAUUAACCAAAAGAUAUUUUUAUCUUGGUUAGCACAGAUUUAAUAUGAAGCUCAAAUGACUUUCAUGUUCAUCAUCGAGUUAUCCCACAAUACACCUUGAAUCACCUUAAUAAGAGCUCAAAUAAAGAAGUUAUGGUCAUUUUACAAGAGACCUAUCAUGAUUGCUGAUACAUUUUAAGACAAUUAUAAGAAUAUCAUAGCACAAUAUAUUAUUUUAGCGAUGAAUUUUCUAAUAUUUAUAGUCAAAUUUUUAUGUCUUUCUUCUAUAAAUACUUGUUAGAGUCCUAGUUAAUGCUCUUAAGGUAAGAUUUAGCCGUAGAAACUUUGCUUCACAAGUUCGUCGAGUUUGAAUUGAGUUUUGAGAAAUCCUAACUUUUAUUUAGUAUAAAGCCCUGGAAUCUACAAAUACCCCCUUUAUAUACGCAGUUUCAUACAACCAAUGAAAUCUUUUCUCUCUUGAGUACAUGUUAAAUUAUAGUUGCUCCAUUUUUUCUUUUUUGUUUUGUGUCGUGGAUCUUGCACAAGCUCAAGUGGAUUCUAGGGAGUAACAAUAUAGCUAGUUGGAGUCCCUCGAGCCUCCAAGGUAUUAGCUGGUAGAAUCAUUGGUAAUAAAGAGGCCCUUUAGUAGUGAUACUAUAAAGCAACUAGUUAUCCUUAACUUAGGCAUCUCAUAUCUAGUUUAGAUUUUGAAAUUUUAUUUUCUUUCUUUUAAUCCUAAAUAUCUAUAUCUUCUGGUCUAGUUAGAACUAUUUUGGUUUUGCCAAUCAUCCGCUAAGGUGCCGCUUAGCGGUGCCGCCCUAACACUGCUUGCGUUAGUAUGGUAUUAGAGUAAGUUCUUUCAUAGUCAAAACUUGUGAUGCAUGCGUGCUACGCUUAAAAUUUGAGUCUCAAAUAGUUUACAAUUUACUAUUCUUAUUUGAUUAAUAAAUUCUUUUAACUUUAGCCUCUUUCGAAUUCCUAGCUAUUUCAAAUUUCUUCUAUUUUCAAAAUACAAAUCGUAUUCAAACUCCUAAGUAUUAAAGUAUAAUUGUUAUUUUCUUUUAUAUUUGAGUAAGUUGCAAGUGCCUUAGAACCCUAUGUCAUAUUCGAAGUAGAGAAUAGCCGAGCUUGAGCACCCCAUGGUCUCAUAUUUACACAAUCUAUGAAAGCUUUUCUCUCUUCAUUACAUAUUAACUCGUGAUUGCUCUUUUUUUUUUUAACUAGGUGAAUUCUAUGCAAGCCUUGAUAGAGCUUGUAGAGUCCUAUGGAACUUCUCGAAGAUGUCAGUUGAUAGAGCCCUUGGCAAGUUGGCAGUAGUAGGAUGAGAAAGUUACUAGUUGUUCUUAGUUAGGCAUCUUAUAUUCAAUGCUAGUUUAGAUUUUAAAAUCUUAUUUGCAUUGAAAAGUUUACAAAUGAAAUACUAAUUUACAUGCUCCUCCAAAAGAUUAAAUCAUCAACAAUAACCACUUUAUAGUUAACCAUCUAAAAAUAAUAAUUAAAUUGAAAAAAAUAUGCUUAAUUUAAGUCAAAUCAAAUAUCCAAAUAUGUUCUAAAUAUGUGAUUAUUUUUAAAAUCAAAGAGGUGUGGGUGGAGUCUGAGAGCAGGGUGGGAGUCGGCAGCUGGGGAGAGGAGACGAGGAGGAAUGUAAAGAAAAGGGAAGGUGGAGUUAGAGGGAGUUGGGAGGGGAGGGACGAGGAGGAGGGGAGGGGUUUGGGUAGGAGGAAGAUGGUGGACAAAAGCCUUUCAUUUCCAAUUCUUUAUUCCACAUCAUUUCCAUCUCAUUAUUGUUAUUUUACAUGCCAUUUCCACGGAGGCACUUUAAUAGCAAAAUGAGAUGCCAGUUGAUGGCAAGCUAAUAUUGCAACACUUUAUAAAGUACCCAUACUCAAUUGCAAAAAUUGAAAAUUGAAACAGAUGCUUAAGUAUAGAAUUUUUUUCAGUAAUUAAGCCUUAUUUUUAUCAUAACCACUUUAAACAUCUAUAUAGUAAUUGUGUUAUAUCAAGUCAAACAUGAUACUUCAUUAAUAAAACACUUUGAACAUACAAUGUUUGUGUUAUUUUUAUUAUAACCGCUUUAAACACCCAUACGUUAAUUGUAUUAUUUUAAGUCACCGAUCGUAUUUUAUUAUAGGAUUUUGAAUAUGUAUGUAAGUAUGUUAUUCCUCUUGCUACUUUCAGUUUCUACGCCAAGGGAGGUGGAGGUUAAGUGGCGACGGUGGUGGCUGGCUUUGACAGAAACAAACUAGUUCUUUCUCCAGCAUCGUUACAUAUUUUUCAGCAUCAGAUGACAAGGGAUGAGAUGAGAUGCUACCAUUCACAGAAUCAAAGGCAUGCCUACAACUGCUUGUGUUACAACAUAAUCAUAUCGAUGCCAGGAACAAAAAAACAUAUGAAUAGAUGAAAAUAGUACUCGAACUACCAUAUACCAUCAAGAUUCAUUUUCUAUACAAGAAUCGUAGUCCGGAUGUUUUCAAAAAAAGGAACUAUGGAGACAUAGUGAGAUGAGGGGAAAUUAGUUGAACUCAAACAGAGCGAAGAAAUGGAAGAUCUGAAAUGAUAUGCGAAAGCGGUUUGCGCUCAUAAAGAGAAUUUGUCAGCAGUAAUCAUAAACUGGGCUUCUUCACAAGUUGUAAUCAAGGCAUGCAGCUCACCAGGAUCCAUAAAUAAACAUAAUAUGUUAUAUAUUUAAUGGGAUCUGACCAAGAAAGUAGAGCUUCUAUAUCCUUUAAAUCAUCAUUAGGUAUUAGUUCAGUCAGUUGAAGCUCCAAACUGUGCAAGUUAGUACAAGGACAAUGUGAAGUGUGACAUUGCAGAGCCAAGUUGCGGUAUCUUGUAAUUUAAGUGACAUGGAGUGUUAUAAAAAUGUGCAAGUGGCUUAGAUAUGCCUGUUGUUGUUUGUCAGCAGACAAGAUCUCUCAGAACUAAAGGGUUACCUAAUAUUCAAUCAGUCUAUUUAUCUUUUUUAACAGAAGAAACUAUUACUUCCAUCACAUUACAACUACACGGUCUGGCCUCAUUUCUCUGGUUAUAUCAAUGGCAUAUACAUACUUUUAUGCAUAUUUGAUUGGCAUUAUGGUAUUAAAUAUUCACAACAAAACAAAUAAAGUUAAAUUGUUUAUUCACUUUAGCACAUAUUACCUUUACAUAGUUUCCUCUUGCUACCUGAACAAAGAUAUAGCAGAUUGAUGUAACAAAAAAAAGAAAAAAAAAGAACAAAGAUACAGCAGAUUGACACUUCUAUCAUGAAGAGAAUCUGAUCAAUUUCUUUUGCCUGAAUUCAGUUUCCAUAUACAGAUAAUUUAAUGUUUUAUACAGACACAGGGUAACGGAUAUUCUUUAUAUAAUAGUAACCGUAUAGUUUGUGACAGUAUCAGAUCAAAUUAUUUUUGAUGGUACUAUUGAUUUAGAUAAAUUCACAGUCUUAGCUUGGUCUAGCAUACAUUCUAAUUUAUAUAACUUACCAGUGAGUAAAAUGCGAACAAUAAUAACUAUUUGCAUAGUAAUACUGAUUUGACAACAAAAAUUGUCAGAUUGGAUGUCUCCAAAUAUGAGGAACUGAACGAGAGCAGUCCUGGAAGUGUUCUUUUAUUACAAUUCAGGAUCUCAUACAUAUAGGGAACCCUGACAAUUGACUAAUUGACCAAUACCUCCCAAUGCUUAGGGGAAAUACAUCUUGAACAUUCCUAUAGAUAUAUAAUAAUCUUACAGUGAUAGCAAGAGCAAAUAUAAUUUCACUAUAGUCCAUGAGCAAUGCUAAAUCUUGGGCCACUUUUAUUGAGCAUGCUUAUAAGCUUGUAUCAAUUUUUACAGACAAAAAAACUAUUAUUGAAAAGAAUUAGAGCUGAUAUUUCCUUUUUCUUCCAUUCUUCUGUUCUAGUACUCUGCACUCUGUUGUUGAAAAGGUUGAGAGAUCAUGGUCACAAAUCCAGCCACGAAAUCGUUCAAUUCUUACCAAUAAGCCCACUUGUGAUGUCAAGAAUAAAUCUAACAUCCUCCAGUCUCUGUCUAUUACUACCAGAUCUUCCACAACAGAUUGCCGUAUAUUAGUACAAAUCUUUGGACAAAUCUUUAGUCGAUUUAUGGUAACAAAAAAAAGCUGUUUGUUGCCAAAUUAAUCCAAAUAUUCUGUGUUGCUUUGAAACAUCUUUUAAGCAGAGUUUGCAUGAUCACUUGCUUCUAGUUCAAUACCCACUCCCCCUCCUCGAGUGCUUUUAGCACUUAAUACCCAUGAAAGGGACUUUGCUUCAGUUCAAGGUGAUUCCUAGAACCUGGAACAGUAAAUUAACCUACACCACACACUAACCAUCUGGAAACCAAAAGAUAUUCUGUUUCCUUCCUUGCCUACCAGGAUAGAGCAGUAACACAAUUCUAAAUAAUGCUGGAGAAAAAAAAUUCUGAAGUAUUUAAUAGCUUGCUCCCAUGAUGACCUAAAUUAUUGCAUAAGACAAUAUAAUAACAUAAUUCUAAAAUAACGCUUGAGAAAGAAUUUCUAAAGUAUUUAAUAGCUUGCUCACAGGAUGACUUAAAUUAUUGUUUCAAGUUAAUAACCCCUUCAGCAACCUCCACGCCAUCUAGUUAAGCCAAGAGUGUGCCCUGAAAAGCAUUUGAAGAUUCUGCCAAACAAAUGACAUACAACCAUUGUAAACUCCAUGGUGUAAGUUACGUUCCCAGACAUCGCCUAACACUAGAGACUUCAACUAAAAAGCAUGUUAUUCUCUUCCAAAAGGGGGGAAAAUCUAUAGAAUUAGAUCCCAAUCUUGGAUUCUAUAUGACCUAUAAGUUGGAAAAGUUCUUCAAAGCAAAAUAUUGUAUUAUGUUAGAAGCAAUCAUCUUGGGACAUACAGGGAUGUCUUUUGCAAGCCAAAAUUAUGAACAGAGAUUUCUAGCUACAAAAGAGGAUUGCAUAAUAUAUAGCUCAGAUAUUAAACAGAUCCAAUAUUAUGUCUCAGUAUUUCCCCUGUAGUUGAUAAACAUAAUAGGGAUUUCCGCCACUUGAAAUGAAAAAUAAUAUCUCAUAUAGCCUCUAAGAUAAUAGAAAAUAUCAAUACAGUUCUAUAAGAUAUAACAAGUUGGCAAUUUAUAUUUGAAGAACUAAAAAGUCCAAAAAAGUUAAACAUAUGAUAAUACCACUGAACAACUCAGGCAAUCAGAAUUUCUAAAAAACAGAUUUUAUUACACGACUACCAUGUACAUCGAUCCCAAAAAAAGACAUUAGAUUAUUAUGUACAUAGAAAGCUUCCAAUUCACAUUACAGGCAGGAAGCAUGCGCCUUCUGUGGAACAUUAUUCUUAUAACAAGUCUGUCAUCAUUUCUUAUACUUAGUAUCGAAAAAUCUUCACUCCGGAUGCUAUUAACACCAGUGACAAAGCAGUUCAAAAGAUAGCUCAGAAAUUAUAUGAGAACCAAGGAAAUAACAAGAUGCUGAGGAGCUCAAACCUUGCAAGUUCAGCUAAGCAAUUCACUCAGAUUGGGAAGCAGAUGAUACCAAACUCCCCACAACACCCAUCGAAUUCACAGCUUCAGAAAUCUCCAAGUUCUGCCUGAUAUCCCCAUUUGGAUUGAUCUGACAAUCCACAACUGCAGGUCCGCAGCUCCCUUCCCAACCAGCCACCUCCCCAUUCCCACCAAAACAUCGUGCGGCAUUAUUGCACCUUAAAUCAACACCACUGCAUUGCUUCUGGAAAGGGAAGGUACCCAAUUCAGCAUCAAUCUUUGCUCGGAGAUCCACGAGAAGGCUUCUCAAUCUAACCACUUCAGCCUCAAGCGCUGCUUGCCCCUGCAAUCUCCUCAAGAGUUGCUGGUUCGCAUGGCGCAAUUUCUUAACCUCCUCCUCCAAAUAAGCUGCUUGGGCCUUCUUCUUUUCCCGAUACUUCCGAACAGCCUCUCUGUUCCCCAAUGGCUUCCGUGAUGUCUUCAGCUCUUCUUCUCCUCCCCUCUCUCCAUCAGUGGUGGCAAAAACCUGCAUAUGCGUGUGGUAGCAUGUAUGGGUAUGCAUGGCAGCUGCAGGUCCUGGAGGGUUACAGGUGUGGGUGUGGGUGCAUGUCCUACUGUUCCUCAAGUACUCGUCAAAGCUGUUAGUCAUCUCAGGGUUUGGCAACAGGAGGUGGCUUGAAAGGUCUACUUCUCCAUCAUCCAUCCUUACUGCAUAUGUUGCUUGAUUGAAAAGAAAACUAAAUUUAUCUUGGCAACUCUUUCCACUCUUUUUUUGAAGAAUUAUACCAAACAGUUGCCUUGCAAAUUUAAGUGAGCCCAGAACCCCCCCCAAAAAAACCCACCUUUUCUCAAACAGAGAUUCACCGUAUGAGAAAACUAUGAAAAUCCAAACGAAAUAUCUCCAUGAAACCACAAAUAUUAAAUCAAAGUGCAAACGAAAGAGUCUCGUAUCAAUCAAGAAGUCCCGCAAGACGAUCCCUUUCCUGUCAUUAUUAAUUCAUCCAAAUUAGAGGCCUAACUAAAACCCAGCUUCACAACUACAAAUACCAAAUUUAUGGAAUUCAGAACUAUAGAUUCAGAAACAAAUAGAUAGAAAAGUUGGUCCGACUCAACUCAACUCCAACUAGGCCUUAAUCCAAAAAUAGAUAGAAAGGUCUACUCACUAGGAUUAAAACAAACUGCAACCAGAGGAACAGAACCCUAAUUUCAUCACAGUAUUACUGGUUCCACAACAUCUAAACGAAAAUAAUGGAUCUGUGAGAUUGGAGAGAUAAUCAGAUGGGGAUUCUCCCUGAAGAGACGAAAUCAAGUAUCAAAAUGAGACCUUGGCGCAAAAAUUUAUCGACUGGCUCAGAAUAGGGGCACCAUCAAGAGCUUCCAAGUGGAGGGCAAUAUCACAGAGGAGACAAAAGAGUCAACUUUUUCUCCUCAUCUGUCUUUCUAUUGCUCUUAGGGAACAGAAUCUGUUAAAGAGGAGAUGAGAGGUGGAGGUCGGAGGCUUGAUUUGAUUGAAGUGGAAAAGGGAAAGGAGGAUUCGGAGGAGAUGAAGUUCCGCACCUGUCAAUACUAUAUUUGUAGCUUCUUAGGGAUAGAUUUCAAGCAAACAUGUCUGUACUAAAUCUAGUAUCAUUAGGUCGGAUUUUGUAAUUUAUAUUAUCGCUGUUUAGAUUGCAUACACGUCAAAGCUUUUGCAUCUAAUUCCCUUUCUAGCAUUAUGAAAGCGAUAAAAUGACCAACAUGCCCAAUGCCAAUUGCCAUGGACUAAGAGGUGGUGAAGGAUAAAAAGGUCAGUUUGCUUCUCUAAGUAUUGGGAUCAUCAAAAGGGCUAUACUAUAGUAGUAGCUCAGAAGGCUGACCCCGAAAAGUUGGCCAAUUUGCAGCUUUCCAUUGCUGCUUUUUUUUCCCCCCUCUUUUACAAAGUGUUUUGGUUGAGGAAGACCGAUGGUUGGAAUAGCAACAGUUACCCCCAUCGGAAGCUAUUGGAAAAUGCUUUCGAGUUGAGGUCAAAACCUGCAACCAAGAAAAGAUUUCUUUUUUUGAGAAGUGGAAACAAGAAAAAAAUUUAUGGCCAUGUAUCAUAUGUAAAAAUUCCAGAUUGAAACUAAUCCCCUUUGUAAAUAUUGACAGCAAUGGCGUUGCCAUGUCGACGGUGGAUGUGGAAAUGGCGGCGACGAUAGAAGGAGACGGUCGUAAAAAUAUGAGUUUAUUAUUUUUGAAAAUAGUGACAGAAUUUUUUAUAUUUUAUAGAAAGAAUUGUUAAAAAUAGAAAAUAAAGAUAAUAGCUCUAAAUAAAAUUUAAUUUUGUGAUUUAUUUUUUAAAAAUAAAGACUAAAAAUAAAUGAGCAAUACCAAACAAACCCUAACAUCAAGUUUUUAAUAAAGGUUUAAGUAUUCAAAUUAAUGGUGGACUAUUCAAAAUGCAAGUCUAAACUGUUAAAUAUGAUUUAGACAACCAAAAAAUCUACAAAUAAAAUUAUAAAAUGCUUUGGUGGUCAUGAAAUUGUAUAAAAUGGCUGCCAAAAAAAGAGAGUUUUUAAUUUAAUCUUAUACUUUGCUAGAUAAGUUUGUUCUUGUCUUAGUGAUGGCACCUCUUUUCUUUGCAACCAUAUAUUUUGGGUUCGAAUCUUAAUUCCCCAAGUAUUUGGACUUGGGUAAUUAAAGUAUGGGAUGGUCUCCUUGCUUUCUCUUAGAAAAUCUUUUACUUUGCUAGGAUCUACUAACAAAAUCUGCUGAUUUCAAAUUUAAUGUUUUUAGAACUAGUAGAUUAUAAUUAACAAAGUAUAUUUUUAGUUUUCAAUUAUAUACUUUAGUAAUUAAAUAACAUGAUUGGAGUAUAAAGAAAAGGCUUUGCAUUAAUUGUCAAAUUCAUUAACUAGAGUAGCAAAAUGAAAUCUUUUUUUGUUUUCUUUUUUUUUUCUUUGGAUGGAAAUGAGAUCUCGAUUGUUGAAUAUGAUCUAUAUAGUUUAAAAUGUUUACAGACAAAAAUAAUGCAUUUUGGAAAAUUCUUGCAUAAACAUCAAAAUUGUCCGAAAACAAAUUACACAUUAUAUAUGUUAGAAUGCACGAUCCUAGUCUUACAUCAAAGGAAUAUUAUGAUCAGUAUUUGUAUAAAAUAUUAUGAAUACUAUGAUUGGUACUUGUAUAAAAUGUUGUUUUUAGUUAUGUUGGUUGAGACAGAAUAAUAUUAACUUGAGAUAUCCAUGGAUACGAUAUUAGAAUGAAUGAAACUUCUAUUCUUUCCUUUUCUUUUCACAAGAAUUAUUAAAACUGAAAUAUUAGUCAUUUAGGUUGGUGAUAGAUGUCAAGAUGAACAAAGAUCUAGACUUAUAUGGGUAGAAAGACGUAGAAGUUAGAAAAGAAUAGACACAUAAAUAUUAAAACCAAUAUUAGUUACUAUUAUUUACUAAUUUUAAAUCAGUUAGUAAAAAGCUCAGUUAAGAUUGUAAAAGAAAGAAGAAAGGUCCGAACUAAUAUACUGAUCAAGUUUUAACUGAUACCAUGAGAUAUUUUGCUAAAAAAAAAAGGGUCAAAACUUUUAAUAUCUCAUUUUUAGUUUCUUAAACCAUUGAUUUCAAUUUUGAUACAAUAAUCAGAACAUCUUGGUUAUGUUCGUGACUCCUCAACCUAGAUGUGAAUCAUGGCGUUGAACCCACAUAGAAUCAAGAAAAAAUUAAAUUAAAAUUUUUUGUUUCAAAACACGUGGCACUGCCACUUUUUUUAAGACUUUAAAAGUAAAAAUAAAUUAAGUUUUAAAUUUUAAAAUUUAAACAUUUUUUUUUAAAGUUUUCGAAAAAAAAAUGCUCACAACGGUUGGCUGUACGUCGAUGGUUUAAAAUAAUUAUUCCUUUUAUUUUGUUCUUUUAUUUUGAAAAUAUCCAACAGUCAACAUCCAGAAAGAUGAUGUAGACCUGUCCAUGAUAGAAAUAUUCAACAUUCAGCACUAGGAUCAGAGCCCAGGAUGUCUGAAGACUUCGGAAGGGGCCCCAUGGUGACUUACUGUGCUCGUUGGACCAUUAACCGACCUCAUAGAGAUGGACGGUCCUUGCAUAAAUAUAAUGGCUUAAGGUCUACAAUAACCUCUAGGUAGUUUCCCUGGUGCUCAGAGGCUGGUUGACCAAAGCGCACUUUGCGAUGCAAAGUAUGUGCCUGUAUGACUCAGUGGAUAAAGGGCCAUUGGUCGGAAAUGAUGCAAAGGAAAAGAAUUCCAUGAUGAAUUUUUGCUUAAGAUCAAUUUUGAUCAUAGUGUGAAGAACAAAGGAGCAAAAGGAGGAGUAGCUUUUGUCAUUAGAGGCUUGGAAUUCAUCGGUGCACGUAGCUGCCACCUGUACGAUGUCUUAGUCCUUGGGGAAGAGUUGAGAGGAGCCUCGAAGGACUUGAGGUUUGCCAUGACAAUACUUCGGGACUCAUUCUAGAGGGAAAUUCAUUCCCUGUUAUUGGAUGGGUGUCUAAGCCGGAGACAUAUGGAGGAUGAUUAAAAAUUUUGACAGCUUCCAAACAGUCCAUGUUUACCGGAAAACGAACAACGCAACUGAUUAAGCAACUUCAUUUAGGGCAGAACACACAGAAAAUAUUGGAUGGGUGAUCAAGAGGACUAUUCUAGUGCAAUUACAGGGUUCUAUGUAUUCUGACAAUAUUGGAUGUAUCCAUACUAGAUUUGUAUGAGUUGUCCAUUCCAAUAACUUAAAAUAAAAUAUUGUCAAAUUUUCAGCAAUAUUUUAAAUAAAUAAUUCAAAUAAUUAUAUUUUUUUUAUCCAUUCGUUAGUCAUUUAUGACCCACUUACAUAAAAGCUAUCAGUAUAGCAAAAUAUAUUUAUAUAAAUUAAUAAAUUACUUUUAAAUAAAUUAUUAGAACAUAUAUUUUUUAUUAUAAAUAAAUUGUAAUAGUCUCAAUUUCUUGUUAAGUAAAUAUAUUUAAACACAAUGACACCAUUAAUUGAUUAGUUUGGAGGAAAUUAAAUUAUUAUAUA
rnacentral:lncRNA from 1 species